UACGUAGGGUGCAAGCGUUGUCCGGAAUUAUUGGGCGUAAAGAGCUCGUAGGCGGUCUGUCGCGUCUGCUGUGAAAACUCAGGGCUUAACCCUGAGCUUGCAGUGGGUACGGGCAGACUAGAGUGCGGUAGGGGAGACUGGAAUUCCUGGUGUAGCGGUGAAAUGCGCAGAUAUCAGGAAGAACACCGGUGGCGAAGGCGGGUCUCUGGGCCGUAACUGACGCUGAGGAGCGAAAGCAUGGGGAGCGAACAGG
rnacentral:rRNA from 1 species